rfam:Tulasnella calospora MTT 4182 unplaced genomic scaffold scaffold_122, whole genome shotgun sequence.
GACUGCGUCGCUUAGUGGUUAGAGCAUCUCGUUGUGGUUUGUACCCUUCAGUGAGUUGCCCCGAGAAGACGGGUGUUCGAUUCACCCCGCGGUCA